GCCUAAGGCCCACUUUUGUCGAGAUGACCUCUGUUGGAAGUUUCAUUAUCUCUGUUGAGUUGGAAUAUCAAAUUUAGUGGGAUAGCAUAUUCUAUUAAUGUGCACGGGUUCCCAAUGAAUCCUGAGCACUCGUCGGGGUAUUUUUCUAAAUCCAACUUAAGCUGGUGCUGCCUUUGUUGGUGCACCAUUCUUUUGUUCUUUGCAUUCGCGUUCUUGACGCUGCGUUCCUAGAGACCAAGAGAUUUGGUCACCGCAUUCACAAGAUCAACUCCACAUUCACGGAGGUAUGGGGCCCUGACCCUUCUCUUUCAUGGAUGGGCUCCCACAUUUACAAAAAAGGGCCAGAGUUAACCCUAACUUGUUGACCACCAUGAUUGUGACCAUGGGCUCACAUUCACGGAAGUAUCUUACUGUCUUUUAAAUAAGACUAGUCCUGAAUUUCAGACCACUUUCCAACUUUGAGAACUCAAUAAGUUGUUUUCUAGAGCUCCGUUGGAGCUGAUUUUUGUUGCGUUGAGUUAAGAAUUGUUGGAGCUAUAUUGGGAACUCGUAUAGGAGCAUGGCAGCAAUCAAAGGCGAUUUGGAAGGAUAAAGCUCCUAUUUAGUUGGUUUUAGAGCUCUCAUGAUUGGCUUUGAGAUCUGAGCGCCAAUAGACCAUAGUGAUUUGAGCCUUCUUGGAGCAUAUCAUCAUAGAUAGAGGGUGAGAUGAUAGCAUCCAAGUUUGACUUAUAUCCAUUUGUAUAUAGUUUUGACUAGUUUUUUAUAUUUGAGACAAGUCUAUACUUUUUGGUCUAUUUUUGGGACUUGUACUCUUGUAAUAACUUUGUUUUUUCAUUGACCAGAUUGUGAGAUUGGAUCAUGUGCUCAGUUUAUGUAUAUAUUGAUGUUGUUUCUCAUUUCCA